rnacentral:tRNA from 2 species
UAGAGCAUAGCUUAAAUAAAGCAUCUCGCCUACACCGAGAACAUGUUUGUGAAAACCAAACUACUCUGA